rnacentral:lncRNA from 1 species
AUUCCCUUCUCCAUGAAUUCUAAUUCACUUUACCCAACUUUAGUAUUCAUUUUAAAGUCUUUCUUUGUUUGACGAGGUGGAGAAACAACUCAUAGCCUGUUCCCAUUUAAUCUUCAGUCUCAGAUACCAGACUCAACUGCAAAUUGCAGGGACCUGUUCAAAGAACUUCUGGACCUCUGCCUAUUAUUGGAUGUGUUCAUUCAAUAAUAAACACUCCUACACAAUUUAAACAAUAUGUUAGGCUUGUGUAUUUAAUACAUGGUCUUGGAUUAUAAAUUUUAAUAUUUAUUUGUUGAGUCACAACCUUAAUUGGUGUAACUCAAUGUGCAUUUUAUGGCAUUACAUAAAAUAUUUAAUUAUGAUUCUUGUUGCACUAAUUAUAACCAUUAUCCAUCAUGAUCAAAAAGUAAUAAUUACCUUCUUACACAUAGCAUUACUUGAAGCAAAUCACCUGUCUUGUGUCACUUAAUACCCAAAACAUAAGAUACUAAUGCACACAAACAUCUAAAAUAACACACAUACAUCAUACAUAGUAUAUGAUUAUUGCCUUGAUGUUAAAUUCUCGUCUACCUUUCGGUAAGCAAAAUGAAAAUACUAAAAUUCAAAUUGUGAAAACAUAUGUCUUAAUAAUUAAUUCACACUACUAAAGUUUGAAAUUUGACUUAGAAUUUCUUAGAAUAAUCAGCUUAUUAAUAAAAUUAAUAUUUUUCCUUAUAAAACAUCAACUACGUAACUUUUCAAAGCCACACAUUGUGGCUCUUCAGCUAUAGGCUAUAAAAACCAAAGGAAGUAUCCAUAUUACCUACAUGCAUUUGCAAAAAUAAUCUUAUCUAUAUAUUACAUGGGCAAAGUAAAUCAAUAAACUAAAACCCAUAUCUCAGUAACUCAAAGCUACAUUAUUGAUUAACUUGUGCCCAAUCAUGGGGGUAUUUUAAUAAAAAGGAUUUUCUGUGCUUGAAUUAUGACAAUAAUUGUUAAUUCUAAACUUCACUGGUUACUACAUAGGAAUAAAGAGCUUUAAAAGUAAAAAAGAAAAAGAAAA